GACGAACGCUGGCGGCGUGCUUAACACAUGCAAGUCGAACGGAAAGGCCCUGCUUUUGUGGGGUGCUCGAGUGGCGAACGGGUGAGUAACACGUGAGUAACCUGCCCUUGACUUUGGGAUAACUUCAGGAAACUGGGGCUAAUACCUGAUAGGAGCUCCUGCUGCAUGGUGGGGGUUGGAAAGUUUCGGCGGUUGGGGAUGGACUCGCGGCUUAUCAGCUUGUUGGUGGGGUAGUGGCUUACCAAGGCUUUGACGGGUAGCCGGCCUGGGAGGGUGACCGGCCACAUUGGGACUAAGGUACGGCCCAGACUCCUACGGGAGGCAGCAGUGGGGAAUAUUGCACAAUGGGCGGAAGCCUGAUGAAGCAACGCCGCGGGCGGGAUGACGGCCUUCGGGUUGUAAACCGCUUUCGCCUGUGACGAAGCGUGAGUGACGGUAAUGGGUAAAGAAGCACCGGCUAACUACGUG
rnacentral:rRNA from 1 species